rnacentral:rRNA from 1 species
CAGUCGCCGCGGGAAUACGGAGGGUGCAAGCGUUAUCCGGAUUUAUUGGGUUUAAAGGGUCCGUAGGCGGAUCUGUAAGUCAGUGGUGAAAUCUCACAGCUUAACUGUGAAACUGCCAUUGAUACUGCAGGUCUUGAGUAAAUUUGAAGUGGCUGGAAUAAGUAGUGUAGCGGUGAAAUGCAUAGAUAUUACUUAGAACACCAAUUGCGAAGGCAGGUCACUAAGAUUUAACUGACGCUGAUGGACGAAAGCGUGGGGAGCGAACAGGAUUAGAUACCCCUGUAGUCCCUGUCUCUUAUAA